UAUCAAGAUAUCAAACAAAUUUUAUGAAUUAUGGAGAGAACUAGAAGCGUGGAAGAAAGAAUAACUGUUUCAAAUGAAAGCAGAGUUUGAUAUGCGAUAUGAAGCAUUGUUAAAUUGAAAGCUUAGCUUGAUGAAACAUCAAAAGUUGUUAAAGAUAGGCAAGAACUUAAACACAAAUAAGCAAAGCAACUUGAACCUAAAAUUGAAGAUAAAGAGCAGCUUGAAUCAAAAGCUUUGAUUGUUGAGCCUUCACAUCUUGAAAAACAAGAAGAUAAGGUUGAGUUGGAAACGUUCGUAUAACCUAUUCUAGAGAAAGAAGCUCAAGGUGAUGAGAAUAAGCACACCAAUCUUGACGAAUCU
rnacentral:misc_RNA from 1 species